UCCCACCAUUUCAGACUUGUCUGCAAAGCCAUUUCCUCUUGGCAAUUCCCACCAUUUCAGACUCUCUCUUUGGCGUACAGAAUCCAGCACACAACAAACAAACAGGAUCAACACUCACUGAAAUUUCUCACAAGGCUUUGAGCAUCAGGAGGAUUAGCACUGCUAUUCCGAUUCAGAGAUAAGGUUAAACGACAGGCUUUGCCUAGACAGGUUAAUGGCUGGUGAUGACGGGGCAGAGCUGAGGCUAGGGUUCAACUCCGUAUUUUGUCUUCCGCUAUUGCACUAGCUUUUAUUUGUCUUUUGUUUCUCCAACUUAAGACUUUUAUGUUAAAUUCUGAAUUAUGUUUUUAUCGAGCUUAAACUCUCAACUUCUAGCUCUAUGUUAUUUAACGUUGGUUAUCGGAAGCAUGAAACCGAACUUGUGAUCCUAA